rnacentral:rRNA from 1 species
AUUGAACGCUAGCGGCAUGCCUUACACAUGCAAGUCGAACGGCAGCGCGGACUUCGGUCUGGCGGCGAGUGGCGAACGGGUGAGUAAUGUAUCGGAACGUACCCAGUAGCGGGGGAUAACUACGCGAAAGCGUAGCUAAUACCGCAUACGCCCUACGGGGGAAAGGGGGGGAUCGCAAGACCUCUCACUAUUGGAGCGGCCGAUAUCGGAUUAGCUAGUUGGUGGGGUAAAGGCUCACCAAGGCUUCGAUCCGUAACUGGUUUGAGAGGACGACCAGUCACACUGGAACUGAGACACGGUCCAGACUCCUACGGGAGGCAGCAGUGGGGAAUUUUGGACAAUGGGGGAAACCCUGAUCCAGCAAUGCCGCGUGUGUGAAGAAGGCCUUCGGGUUGUAAAGCACUUUUGGCAGGAACGAAACGGUGCCGGAUAAUACCUGGCAUCACUGACGGUACCUGCAGAAUAAGCACCGGCUAACUACGUG